rnacentral:rRNA from 1 species
GACGAACGCUGGCGGCGUGCUUAACACAUGCAAGUCGAACGGAAAGGCCCUGCUUUUGUGGGGUGCUCGAGUGGCGAACGGGUGAGUAACACGUGAGUAACCUGCCCUUGACUUUGGGAUAACUUCAGGAAACUGGGGCUAAUACCGGAUAGGAGCUCCUGCUGCAUGGUGGGGGUUGGAAAGUUUCGGCGGUUGGGGAUGGACUCGCGGCUUAUCAGCUUGUUGGUGGGGUAGUGGCUUACCAAGGCUUUGACGGGUAGCCGGCCUGAGAGGGUGACCGGCCACAUUGGGACUGAGAUACGGACCAGACGCCUACGGGACGCAGCAGGGGGGAAUAUUGCACAAUGGGCGGAAGCCUGAUGCAGCAACGCCGCGUGCGGGAUGACGGCCUUCGGGUUGUAAACCGCUUUCGCAUGUGACGAAGCGUGAGUGACGGUAAUGGGUAAAGAAGCACCGGCUAACUACGUG